AGUGGCCACAGGGUCCCCCUCCCCUCCCAUCAUUGGUGGCAGCUUCAGUGUAAGCCUGAGGCUCCGAUCGGUUACCAUGGCAGCCAGGAUGCUAUUGAAGUCCUGGCUGCCAUAGUCUGCUCCAUGCUUCUGUGUGCACAGGGCACAGGGCACAGAGCAGCAGGGAGAGUGUGAUGUCCUAU